rnacentral:rRNA from 1 species
GACGUAGGGCGCGAGCGUUGUCCGGAUUUAUUGGGCGUAAAGAGCUCGUAGGCGGCUUGUCGCGUCGACCGUGAAAACUCACAGCUCAACUGUGAGCUUGCGGUCGAUACGGGCAGGCUCGAGUUCGGUAGGGGAGACUGGAAUUCCUGGUGUAGCGGUGAAAUGCGCAGAUAUCAGGAAGAACACCAAUGGCGAAGGCAGCUCUCUGGGACGGUACUGACGCUGAGACGCGAAAGCGUGGGGAGCGAACAGG